UAUGGUAUAAAAAUAAAAAAAAACAUCAUAGUAUAGUAAGGCAUAAAAUUUCAAAAAAUAUCAUAGUAUAGUAAUACAUAAAAUGUCAAAAAAGGUCAUGGUAUAGUGAGACAUAAAAUAUCAUAAAAUGUCAUAAUAUAGUAAGUCAUAACAACGUAAAAAAAACAUCAUAGUAUAGUAAGACAUAAAAUGUCAAAAAAGGUCAUAGUAUAACAAGGUAUAAAAAUGUCAUUGCAGUAUGGCAUAAAACGUUAUGGUAUAGUAAGGCGUAAAACCUCAAAAAACAUCAUAAUAUAGUAAGGCAUAAAAACAUCAUAGUAUAGUAUGGUAUAGAAAUUUCAAAAAAAUAAAAAUGUCAAAAAAUACAUAGUAUAGUAAGACAUAAAAUGUCAAAAAACAUCAUAGUAUAGUAGGGCAUAAAAAUAUAGAAAAAACGUAAUUGUUUAUUAAGGCAUAAAAACGUCAUAGUACAGUAAGGCAUAAAACGUCAUAGUAUAAUAAGGCAUAAAAAUGUCAAAAAAAGUCAUAGUAUAGUAAAGCAGAAAACGUCAAAAAACAUCAUAGUAUAGUAAGGCAUAAAAACGUCAUAGUAUAGUAUGGUAUAAAAAUGUCAAAAAACAUCAUAGUAUAGUAGGGCAUAAAACGUUAUAGUAUAAUAAGGCAUAAAAAUAUAGAAAAAAUGUAAUUGUUUAUUAAGGCUUAAAAUAUCAAAAAACCUCAUAGUAUAGUAAGACAUAAAAUGUCAAAAAAGGUCAUAGUAUAAUAAGGCAUAAAAACGUAAAAAAAACACCAUAGUAUAGUAAGGCAUGAAAAUAUAGAAAAAACUGAAUUGUUUAUUAAGGCAUAAAAACGUCAUAGUACAGUAAGGCAUAAAACGUCAUAGUAUGAUAAGGCAUAAAAUGUCAAAAAACAUCAUAGUAUAGUAAGGCAUAAAAACAUCAUAGUAUAGUGUGGUAUAAAAAUUUCAAAAAACAUCAUAGUACAUUAGGGCAUAAAAAUAUAGAAAAACUUAAUUGUUUAUUAAGGCAUAAAAACGUCAUAGUAUAGUAAAGCAUAAAACGUCAAAAAACAUCAUAGUAUAGUAAGGCAUAAAAACAUCAUAGUAUAGUAUGGUAUAAAAAUGUCAAAAAACGUCAUAGUACAGUAAGGCAUAAAACGUCAUAGUAUAAUAAGGCAUAAAAGUGUCAAAAAAAGUCAUAGUAUAGUAAAGCAUAAAACGUCAAAAAACAUCAUAGUAUAGUAAGGCAUAAAAACGUCAUAGUAUAGUAUGGUAUAGAAAUUUCAAAAAAAAAAAAAAUGUCAAAAAAUACAUAGUAUAGUAAGACAUAAAAUGUCAAAAAAGGUCAUAGUAUAGUAAGGCAUAAAAACGUAAAAUAAACAUAGUAUAGUAGGGCAUAAAAAUAUAGAAAAAACUUAAUUGUUUAUUAAGGCAUAAAAACGUCAAAGUACAGUAAGGCAUAUAACGUCAUAGUAUAAUAAGGCAUAAAAAUGUCAAAAAAAGUCAUAGUAUAGUAAGGCAUAAAACGUCAAAAAACAUCAUAGUAUAGUAAGGCAUAAAAACAUCAUAGUAUAGUAUGGUUUAAAAAUGUCAAAAAACAUCAUAGUAUAGUAAGGCAUAAAAUGUCAAAAACAUCAUAGUAUAGUAGGGCAUAAAAAUAUAGAAAAAACUUAAUUGUUUAUUAAGGCAUAAAAACAUCAUAGUAUAGUAGGGCAUAAAACGUUAUAGUAUAAUAAGGCAUAAAAAUAUAGAAAAAACGUAAUUGUUUAUUAAGGCUUAAAAUAUCAAAAAACCUCAUAGUAUAGUAAGACAUAAAAUGUCAAAAAAGGUCAUAGUAUAAUAAGGCAUAAAAACGUAAAAAAACACCAUAGUAUAGUAAGGCAUGAAAAUAUAGAAAAAACUGAAUGUUUAUUAAGGCAUAAAAACGUCAUAGUACAGUAAGGCAUAAAACGUCAUAGUAUGAUAAGGCAUAAAACGUCAAAAAACAUCAUAGUAUAUAGUAAGGCAUAACAACAUCAUAGUAUAGUAUGGUAUAAAAAUUUCAAAAAACAUCAUAGUAUAGUAGGGCUUAAAAAUAUAGAAAAAACUUAAUUGUUUAUUAAGGCAUAAAAAGGUCAUAGUAUAGUAAGGCAUAAAAACUUAAAAUAAACAUCAUAGUAUAGUAAGGCAUAAAAAUAUAGAAAAAACUUCAUUGUUUAUUAAGGCAUAAAAACGUCAAAGUACAGUAAGGCAUAAAACGUCAUAGUAUAAUAAGGCAUAAAAGUGUCAAAAAAAGUCAUAGUAUAGUAAAGCAUAAAACGUCAAAAUACAUCAUAGUAUAGUAAGGCAUAAAAACGUCAUAGUAUAGUAAGGCAUAAAAUGUCAAAAACAUCAUAGUAUAGUAGGGCAUAAAAAUAUAGAAAAAACUUAAUUGUUUAUUAAGGCAUAAAAACGUCAUAGUAUAGUAAGGCAUAAAACAUUAUAGUAUAAUAAGGCAUAGAAAUAUAGAAAAAAAAAAUUUUUUAUUAAGGCAUAAAAACGUCAUAGUACAGUAAGGCAUAAAACGUCAUAGUAUAAUAAGGCAUAAAAUGUCAAAAAAAGUCAUAGUAUAGUAAAGCAUAAAACGUCAAAAAACAUCAUAGUAUAGUAAGGCAUUAAAACAUCAUAGUAUAGUAUGGUAUAAAAAUUUCAAAAAACAUCAUAGUAUAGUAAGGCAUAAAAUGUCAAAAACAUCAUAGAAUAGUAGGGCAUAAAAAUAUGGAAAAAACUUAAUUGUUUAUUAAAGCAUAAAAACAUCAUAGUAUAGUAAGGCAUAAAACGUUAUAGUAUAAUAAGGCAUAAAAAUAUAGAAAAAAAUUAAUUUUUUAUUAAGGCAUAAAAACAUCAUAGUAUAGUAAGGCAUAAAACGUUAUAGUAUAAUAAACCAUAAAACGUCAAAAAACAUCAUAGUAUAGUAAGGCAUAAAAAAGUCAUAGUAUAGUAUGGUAUAAAAACGUAAAAAAAACAUCAUAGUAUAGCAAGGCAUAAAAAUAUAGAAAAAACUGAAUUGUUUAUUAAGGCAUAAAACGUCAUCGUAUAAUAAGGCAUAAAAGUGUCAAAAAAAGUCAUAGUAUAGUAAACCAUAAAACGUCAAAAAACAUCAUAGUAUAGUAA